UCCUUUUGUUUCGGCACCUAAUCAUCCUUACCGGGAACCCUAAUGAUCUACGCCGGCUUUAUGUCUGCAGUGCGGGUACCUAAAUUCCGGGGCUCCUUUUUCCCAAGAAAAAAUGAAGCAGGCAUGAUGCCCAUCACCGGCCGGUCAUGAGCUGCUAUAAGUACGAGGCCUGCGAUGCCCGCCGGAUUGCGCAUCCUGAGCUGAUCAGGUGAUCAGCUGGUGUGUGUGCGGACCUGACGACACUGCUGGCCAUGGUCUCCUCUUCGUCAGUUCUUCCCAAGGUGGUCGAUGACGCGGCAGAUCAGGCCACCCCUCGCCGCGCCAAGUGGUGGUACGUGACGUUCCACAACGUCACCGCCAUGGUCGGCGCCGGCGUGCUCAGCCUGCCCUACGCCAUGGCGCACCUAGGAUGGGGCCCCGGGGCGGCGGCGCUGCUGGCGUCGUGGGGGAUCACGCUCUACACGCUGUGGCUGCUGAUCCAGCUGCACGAGUGCGUCCCCGGCGUGCGGUUCGACCGGCUCCGCGACCUCGGCGCGCACGCGCUGGGCCCGCGCCUGGGCCCCUGGGUGGUCGUGCCGCAGCAGCUCAUCGUGCAGCUCGGCUGCGACAUGGUGUACAUGGUCACGGGCGGCAGCUGCCUCCAGAAGUUCGCCGAGUCCGCGUGCCCGACCUGCGCGCCGCUGCACCGGUCCUACUGGAUCUGCAUCUUCGGCUCCUCCCAGUUCCUGCUCUCCCAGCUCCCGAACCUCGACGCCAUCACCGCCGUCUCCUUCCUCGCCGCCGCCAUGUCGCUCAGCUACUCGACCAUCUCGUGGGCGGCGUGCGUGGCGCGCGGCCCCGUGAGCGGGGUGAGCUACGCGUACAAGGGCGGCACGGCGGCGGACUCGACGUUCCGGGUGUUCGGCGCGCUGGGGCAGGUGGCGUUCGCGUACGCGGGGCACGGCGUGGUGCUGGAGAUCCAGGCCACCAUCCCGUCCACGCCCACCAAGCCGUCCCGGGCGCCCAUGUGGAAGGGCACCGUCGCCGCGUACCUCGUCACCGCGGCGUGCUACUUCCCCGUCGCGCUCGUCGGGUACUGGGCGUUCGACCGCGACGUCGGCGACAACGUCCUCGUGGCGCUGCAGCGGCCGCCCUGGCUCGUCGCCGCCGCCAACAUGAUGGUCGUCAUCCAUGUCCUCGGAAGCUACCAGGUGUACGCGAUGCCAAUAUUCGAAACCAUGGAGACGAUUCUGAUCACGAGAUUCAGGGUGCCUCAAGGAUGGCUCCUCCGUCUCGUGGCUCGAUCGGCUUAUGUCGCAUUCACGCUGUUCAUCGCGGUGACAUUCCCGUUCUUCGGCGACCUCCUCGGCUUCUUCGGAGGGUUUGGGUUCACGCCGACGUCCUACUUCCUCCCCUGCAUUCUGUGGCUCAAGAUCAAGAAGCCGCCGAGGUUCAGCGCGUCCUGGCUCGCCAACUGGGGCUGCAUCGUCGUCGGAGUGCUGCUGAUGCUUGCGUCCACCAUCGGCGGGCUACGGAGCAUCAUCCAGGACGCGUCGACGUUCCAGUUCUACUCCUGAACCCUGACGCCUGCGCGUACGUGACUGACAUCACCCCCAAACAGAUCGUCACCCCUCGUGCACGCGGGUUCUACCGUCUAUUAUUACAAGUUUGGGGUGUGGCUGCAGUCUGCCGGAACCGAGAAGCAGAGGGGCGAUGCAACAAGAAGAAGCUCGCCGAGGCGUUACGUUUCUACAGAUGAUGAUGCUAGAUGUUUGUCCUCGUCUGUUGCUUCAACAGUCACGGCGUGGCCGAAAAAUAUGGCACAAAUGAAUCGGCGUGUGGUUCAGCGACGGGGCUUUUUUCCUGUGCUCUGAAUUUAAAUAAACUGUUCCAACAUCUGCAAGUUGUAAUUGAAGCGUGGAGAUGAGCUGAAUAAUGUAACCUAAAGUGAAAUGUGAAUCCCAUAUGUGUGUGCCA